CGGUGCUCUAGGGAGCUGGCACCAACGUCCCUGCUCCCUUGGGGGCAGUGACGACGCCGUGCCAGUGGCCGCAGAGAACACACAAAGGAAGCCCCGACCCAUCCUCUGGACCUGGAGGCAUCACAAGGAGGGGACUGGUGCGGACCCCAGUCAGAGCAUUCCUCGGUCCCCCGCGGGGAACAAUAGGCGCAGCGGGCCGGGGUGGCUGGGCGGUUUGGCCCGCGCGCCGCACAAAGCCCGCUUGGACCGCGCAGCACGUGACGUGCGCGCGCGCGCGCGUGCGCGCGGGCUGGGGGUAGAGGUCCUGAAUCCACCUGGAACACUUUCAGAAAGACAAACGCGGUUCCUCCUAUUUCUGAGCAAGUCUGGGCCAGCUGGGAGCCGACCAGAAACCGCAAGCUGGGGAGACGCAGGCGCGCGGGCUGAGCGCUAACGGAGGGCGCGACCCAUCGCGCGCCCGCCCACCGGGGAGCGGUGCAGACGGGGCAGCGGGAUCUGCACUCCGGGGACCCGAGCUACCGCCCGCCAGCCCCGCCCUCGAGCUACUCCGGGCGCCUGGCGACUUAUUCGCACCCCCCCACACACCCUGCAUUCCCCCAGCUCCUCUCCACCCACUGCUUGCCCCAGCGACAGAAGCCCUUACAAGCUGCUUUCUCCCAAGAAAAGGACGAAAUCAUCUCUGAAGGCAAUACAAGAAAAAUCCCAAAGGGUCAGAAGGUUUUUUGCAGACUCUUGUUUAAAAGUUUCUGUUUGCUUGUAGGAGUACUUGGGUGGGAGGAAGUAGGGUAACAAGACCAAUGUUGAACUUGGGAUAAACUUGAAUGCCUUUUAAAAUAACAAUAAAAACACAACACCAGGUACAAUG
rnacentral:lncRNA from 1 species